rnacentral:misc_RNA from 1 species
UUGAGAACGUGCCCUCUGGGGUACAUCUCCCACCCUUCGUGAACCUUAGCUUUGUUGCUUUGGCAGGCCCGUCUCCGGACCGCUGGCUUCGGCUGGCCCGUGCCUGUCAGAGGAUGAUUCAAAACGCUUUGUUUAUGUUGUCCGAGUCUUAUGCAAUCGUUA